rnacentral:siRNA from 1 species
AUAGAUGCUUGAUGCGUCCUU